UUUUGAGAGUAAAUUUGUUAAUACCUGGGGACUACGGAAGAUAAUUUUUAAAAUCCAAAAAGCUUGGCGGUGUCUCAGACUUUUCAGGGGAACUUGUCUCUGAAUCGAUGAUCCACGUGGGACCUUACCCUGUCUUGUAAAACUGCUUGCAUACCGUCGUCGUUAGUCUUUGUCAAUGAAGAUUGUAGAAGAAGGCGGGAGAAAUUAUAAUUUUUUGUGUCAGAUCAGUGUACAGCUAAUGGCGGGGGGGAGGUGAGUUACAAUUAGUAUUUGUAAUUACGGAAACUCUGGGGAAGAAAUAUAAAACUGGAGUUAGAAGGAGGACUUGAAAGUAUGGAUAAUUUAUAAAAAUUUCUUGAACACAGUUAGGACGUGUACAAAUCGCCCGUCGCUCUGGCUGAAAAGCGAGAUAAGUCGUAACAUAGUAGGGGUAGCGGAAGCUGUCCCUGAAAUAA
rnacentral:rRNA from 1 species